rnacentral:rRNA from 1 species
CCCUUAGAUGUUCUGGGCCGCACGCGUGCUACACUGAGUGGAUCAGCGGGUCAGGUUGCGCGAAAGCGUUUCCUAAUCUUUAAAUCCGCUCGUGAUGGGGAUUGACGGUUGCAAUUUUCUGUCAUGAACGAGGAAUACCUUGUAAGCGCGGGUCAUCAUCCCGCGCUGAAUACGUCCCUGCCCUUUGUACACACCGCCCGUCGCUCCUACCGAUUGAGUGGUCCGGUGAGGCUUUGGGAUCUGAACGGAAAGAGCGUUUCGCUGUUUCUGCUCGGAAAACUCAGUCGAACCUUAUCAUUUAGAGGAAGGAGAAGUCGUAACA